rnacentral:tRNA from 1 species
GCCUUCUUAGCUCAGUGGCAGAGCACUAGUCUUGUAAACACCUGGCUAACUAGGGGUCAUGAGUUCAAUUCUCAUAGAGGGCACAA